rnacentral:rRNA from 1 species
CAGUAGCCGCGGGAAUACGAAGGGGGCUAGCGUUGUUCGGAUUUACUGGGCGUAAAGCGCACGUAGGCGGAUCGAUCAGUCAGGGGUGAAAUCCCAGAGCUCAACUCUGGAACUGCCUUUGAUACUGUCGAUCUGGAGUAUGGAAGAGGUGAGUGGAAUUUCGAGUGUAGAGGUGAAAUUCGUAGAUAUUCGGAGGAACACCAGUGGCGAAGGCGGCUCACUGGUCCAUUACUGACGCUGAGGUGCGAAAGCGUGGGGAGCAAACAGGAUUAGAUACCCCCGUAGUCCCUGUCUCUUAUAC